CAGCUACCACACUCCCCCUUGCCCUUCAAGGGGGAAAUCAGUGCACGAUUUCAAAUUGUUUUGUCCUUCACAGUGACUGUGACAACUAUCGAGAGCUGAAUUUGCUAGGUUAAGUGCAACCGAAAGAAAUGUAUAUUUGAAGAAACUACUUGGAGAAAAUGACAGCGAUUCGUUCGGGCGUCUGACAGUGAUGACGAAGACUGGAUUUCAGGGAAAAUCUAAACGUCAAAUUUCAAAUCAAGAAGAUAUUCAAAGCAUGAUGAACCAGAAGAUUCUGAUUCUGGAAUUUAAAAGUAGAAAAAGAGGUUGAGAACGGCGAGAUGAAGGAAGACGGCGAUUAAGUAGAAACUGCUGAGCCUGAAGGACAAGCUCGAGAGCCAUCUGGGAGUAUUAUUGCGAACGAUAAAACAGUGUGGAGCAAAGCUUCACUCACUCAGCGUCAGACCGGAGCUCAUAAUGUUGUAUGCCAGCGAAGUAAGCCUUAUCGCAGUACAGAAAUGUUGUCAAUAAGCGAGACUUUUAAGAAAACUUUCACCUACGAAAUGGUUGAAAUAGUCGUCCGUCACACUAACAAGAAACCUGAACCUACUUAGCAACAUUAUAAUGCUGACUAUCCACACUCUCAGCAUUAAUAGAAGCCCAUUACGAUACCCGAAAUUUAUUCAUUCAAAUAUGCACCAUACUUUUGAUAUGCGGCAUCCCAAUUCUUAUCCGCUGUAUCGCGCGUCGAUGGGACUGAAGAGAUUCUAUAAUUGAUAGCCUCCUCCAAACUACAAAUUUUAGUUUUAAAUGUAAAUAUUUAUUUCGGGA